UACGUGAGGGGCGAACGUUGUUCGGUGUCACUGGGCUUAAAGGGUGCGUAGGUGGUUGCGUAAGUAAGGUGUGAAAUCCCUCGGCUUACCCGGGGAAUUGCAUUUUAUACUGCGUGGCUUGAGGACUAAAGGGGAAAAGGGAACUCCAGGUGUAGCGGUGAAAUGCGCAGAUAUCUGGGGGAAGGCCGGCGGCGAAGGCGCUUUUCUGGUUAGUACCUGACACUGAGGCACGAAAGCGUGGGGAUCAAACAGG
rnacentral:rRNA from 1 species